AAACACAUGACACAGUUUUGAGACAAGAAAUAUCAGAUAAGCUUCAAAAAUAAAAUUUCCAUCCAACAGCUCUCCAGGUAAAAAAGACUGUCACUGAAUCAAAAAAUUGAAAAAAGCACACAAAACUAACCAAUGAGGCAGCUCCCCGUAGAGUUCAUUAAGUACAAACAUGCACAGAGCUCUUAUUGAACAGCAAAAAUCUCUCCAUAUGAUAAUAUUAUCCAUCUAUAUUUGACAACAAACGUCACUAAUAAAAGCUGACCUCCACAUCAGAAUAUAAUAUCAUCAUCUUUCUGUGAAGCAUGGGACAGUAAGUUAUGGGCUGAACCAAGCGAAAUACCUCUCUUCAAAGAAAAUUCUUCAGCAGACUUCUCCGCUGCAUAUAGCCUAGCAGCGGCCAUCUGUUUCUCUACCUCCCUCUUCUUGUAACCUUGUAUUUUCUUCAAACGGAAGAAGUCUUCCCUUUCCAGUUCAUCAAGUUCCCCCUUGAUGUAAAGAACUGUGUUCUCCAACCGAGGCUUCACAACAUUCUCCAAGGCAUUGACCCUCCGAUUUGUUGUCUUGAUUGCUUCAUCGAGAGUCAAGAAUGAUGUUUGCAGUGACGCAAGCUCAACAAGUAAUUCAAUAGAUUUCACGUAAGCAGCACGGCAGGCUUGUACCUGUUGCCCACCUCUAGCUAAUCCAGUCAGGUCAUUCUUGGUCUCUCCUUCAGAAAAGUGCUCAAACUUGGGGAGCUUCACCCCAGCAAUAUUUUCCUGCCGUGAUCGAACUUUCAGAGUAGCAGUCUGGACAUUUUCAAGGACAACGUGCUUGAUGUUCUCACCAGCAGCAUAUUUGGCCUCUGUCAGAGCAAAUGAGGAAUUUUUCAUGACAUCUCCCAUCGAUUCCUUUGUUGAUACUAUUUUCUUUAAAAUCUGACGGAACUGCACAGUCAAAGCA
rnacentral:misc_RNA from 1 species